AGUCACUUGACAUUAGAUACCCCUGUAGUCCCAGCCGUAAACUAUGCGCGUUAGGUGUAUCGGUGACCACGAGUUACCGAGGUGCCGAAGGGAAACCGUGAAACGUGCCGCCUGGGAAGUACGGUCGCAAGGCUGAAACUUAAAGGAAUUGGCGGGGAGCACCACAACAGGUGGAGCCUGCGGUUUAAUUGGACUCAACGCCGGGAAGCUCACCGGAUAGGACAGCAGAAUGAUUGCCGGGCUGAAGACCCUGCAUGACUAGCUG
rnacentral:rRNA from 1 species